ensembl:lncRNA EDIL3-DT EDIL3 divergent transcript
GGGCUCAUCUGUUCACGGGGGCAAAAGGGUGGAAGUGAGUAGGAGACAUGCAUCUCGUUAAGCAGGACAUCUGUUUCAGAGAAGAAGUGGGGCAAGUUUGGGAACUGUGCAAGAACAUAAAGGCAAAGACAGACCCUUGAAGCAUCACUAAGGUGGAUCAAAUUUUCUUUCUAUCCGCCAAAAUAAAUGGACUGGUUUUUGCAGUGGAAGUGAUUGAACCAAAAAUACAGCUCAUGGCUUACAAUUGUGCUUUCUUCUCUGUUUUUCGGUUAGAAUGAUUGCUUAUUGUACAUGGAUCCAAUUCCAGCAGUUACAGAGAGGGAGGUAGGGAGAGAGACAAACACAGAGCUAGAGAAAUUGAAAGAGAAACAUUCUCGAAGGCAAAGAGUUGAAAGGUGAAUCUACUAAGAAAAGAAUAACAGAGUGCAAUUAGCCAUGGAACUACAUCUCCAUCUGCCUCCUUUAAAGGAUGAGUCCUUUAAAGAGCCUUUGGAAGGAAUUGGGCCAUGAGAAGAGCCCUCAUGAAUGGGAUUAGUUCCCUUAUAAGAAGAGACACCAAGGAAGUGAUCUUUCUCUGCCCUCUGCUAUGUGAAGACAAGGUCAUCUGCAGUUUUUUGUUGUUGUUGAUGAUCUUCCUGUCAUAGACAAUGCUGUAACAAACAGACUAUCCACAGGUUUUCUACUUUUUUGAGCUAAAUCGUGAUGAAGCAGAUGAUAAUCUGAGGCUCGCCUGCUAUAUUGUGAAAAUCCCUCUGUGCUUGUAAUAAAGGCUUCAUCUCCACAAGACCUAAAGUAUGUGUCGAGUGUAUAAAUGGAACUCUUUUUUAAAUGGAAAAUACCAUAUUACACUAAUUAUUUGUGUGAAUUACUCAUUUCUUUAUUUUAAUGUAAAGUAUACAUUAAGGCUUCUAGAAAAAGAAUUUUGUUUGUUUUCAAAGAUAAAGAAAAGCAAUACACUUUUGAAAUUAAUAGAGAAAAAAAUAACAUCUCAAAUAGAAUUGGGCUAGUAUAGUGCUGAUUAUCUCUCUCUGUUGUAUGGUUUAUGUUAUGUGUGGUUGUUUAGAAACAUCAUUUUACUAAUCUUUGGGAUAUUGUAUCCAAGGUAGCCUGCAGAGUUUUGCUGUUCAAUUUAUCUUAUCUUUAAUAUGGAUUUGUGGGCUCUUACAGCCAUCAGCUAUACUACGAAAAGGUCCUCUUUUGUUGCUCCUUUGUCAUUUACUUCUUGUUUCCAAUCCAUCAGCACAUCUUUUAUUGAGUUCCUGUUUUGUUAAAGGCAAGACUCUAAGGAAAAGGCAAAGAAUUAUAGGAAUUACAACCUGCCCUUUAAAAGCUCAUAGUCUGUGUGGGAGUGGAAGGACUAUAAUAUUUAAAGAGAAUUAAGAUAAUUUAAUAAGAAGUGUUUCAACAAUUAACAUUGAAGAUUUUGUUUUCAUUUUGUUACUUGUUUACAGGUUUUUACCUGGAAUAAAAUAUAAAUGUUUUAGUGCCCAUAGAUAAGAGAGGUGAUAGGGCAGUGAAUAACAUAAUAUGUGUGUCUAUAAUAUGGUUGUAGGUAUAGACUGUAUAUAGAAAAAUAAGAAGAAAAAAACAAAUUCUGAAAGACUCAGAAAUAAAUCUGUUACUGAAACUAUUUGGUGAAGCCUAAGCUAUUGAAAUGCCAAUAAUUGAUUUAAAAUAUAUUAUUUAGCAUUGGUCUCUUUAAUUGCAGGUAGCCAAAAACUCAAUUGGGAAAUUGUUGUUUCCAAAAACUAAAUGGGAAAUUAUUGUUUAUGUGAUUGAACAUGGAGAUCUUUCAUGAUUCAGCGAUGGCUGGAUUCAGAGGACCAAAGAUUGGUACAAGCAGUGACUUUUCUCCAUCUCUUGGUUCUCUCUGCCCCUGUUUUGGCUCUGGCCAGACAAGCAUGCCCCAUUGUGGUGCAAAGAAGGCUAUGGAAGUUUCAGCCUCCUAUCAUUCUGGGUUUUAGUAUAUAUAGAUGAUAUCUUUUUAAAGUCAAGUUGAAAAAAGCCCAAUUCAAUGCUUCAAAUCGAGGAGCAUGACUAUCUCUGAGCCAACCUCUGUUGAUGGGAAAACAGAAUGCACUAAAUGGCUAAAGCCUGAGUCAAAUAUAUACCGCUGAAAUAGGGGAUUUAACCAGCUCCACCAAAACAAGCACACUGAAAGUGGGGUUUGCCACUUCUGAAAGGAAAAUUUAAAAAACAAAAUGGUUUGUAGAUGAUCUACAAGCAGGAGGCAUGAUGUUAUGAAGCAACAUAACUAUCAGUUAGGGGAUUGUGGGGCUUCAUCUUUAACACUUAUAGUUCACAUACUUGUAUGUUUUGUAUGAACAUAUGAAUAGAAUGUUAACAAGGUGGCCAACAUAUCUAAAUGUUGUUUAAAAAAGAGAAUUUCAAUGUUAGGUGGAGUGUUGGGGAAUAAGCACACAGGUAAAGUGUUAAAAGAAAUCAGUAGGCAAAUUUAACAGUAAAUAUCAACACUUUUAUAACUGUUUCAACAUAUUACCCACAGUCAUAUCUUGAAAUUCAUCAUAAGGGAAAAAUUGGUCAAGCAAAAAUGAAUAUAUAUGUUUAUUGCAUAUGCUUAAUAUCAACAUGGGAAAACCACUAAAUGAUGAAAAAUAAAGAAUUAAUUGAAUAACCCGCAUACUGAAAUACUUUGGAAGCAUUGAAUAUUAUAAUUAGUUUUUUGUUUGCUUGUCUGUUUGUUUUGAGACAGAGUCUUGCUCUGUCACUUGGGCUCAAGUGCAGCGGCAUGAUCUCGGCUCACUGCAACCUCUGCCUCCGAGGUUCAAGCGAUUCUCCUGCCUCAGUCUCCAGAGUAACUGGAAUUACAGGCAUGCACCACCAUGCCUGGGUAAUUUUUGUAUUUUUUCAGUAGAGAUGGGGUCUCACCAUGUUGGCCAUGCUGGUCUUGAAUUCCUGUCCUCAGGAGAUCUGACCAUCUUGGCCUCCCAAAGUGCUGGGAUUACAAGCAAAUAUUAUAAUGAGUUUUUAUAAAAUAAACUAUUGCACAAAAAAAAGUUAAAAAAUAGUAUAUGUAAUAUGAUCAUAUUUACAUGUAUGAAUUCUUAGAGAAAGUUUGGAAGGUUGUUUACUAAGAUAUUUUAAAAUUGAUUAUGUCUAUAUUGUGGGGCUAGAGGCAAUUUUUGUUUUUGCUU